AUGAACGCUGGCGGCGUGCCUAAUACAUGCAAGUCGAACGAGGUGCUUUUGUAGCAAUACGAGAGUAUCCUAGUGGCGAACGGGUGAGUAACGCGUUGGUGACCUACCCCAAAGUGUGGGAUAACAGUCCGAAAGGAUUGCUAAUACCGCAUGUGGUCUUCGGAUUUAGAAACUGAAGACUAAAGGAGCAAUUCGCUUUGGGAGGGACCUGCGUCCCAUCAGCUAGUUGGUGAGGCAACGGCUCACCAAGGCGACGACGGGUAGGGGACCUGAGAGGGUGACCCCCCACAAUGGAACUGAAACACGGUCCAUACACCUACGGGUGGCAGCAGUAGGGAAUAUUGCUCAAUGGGCGAAAGCCUGAAGCAGCAACGCCGCGUGUGCGAUGAAGGCCUUCGGGUCGUAAAGCACUUUUCCGCGAGAUGAGAAAGGACAGUAUCGUAGGAAUAAGUCUCGGCUAACUACGUGCCAGCAGCCGCGGUAAAACGUAGGAGGCAAGCGUUAUCCGGAUUCACUGGGCGUAAAGCGCGUGCAGGCGGUGCGGUAAGUUGGGCGUGAAAUCUCCCGGCUCAACUGGGAGAGGUCGUCCAAUACUACCGUACUUGAGAGCAGAAGAGGAAGAUGGAAUUCCCGGUGUAGUGGUGAAAUGCGUAGAUAUCGGGAGGAACACCAGUGGCGAAGGCGAUCUUCUGGUCUGUUUCUGACGCUCAGACGCGACAGCUAGGGUAGUAAACGGGAUUAGAGACCCCGGUAAUCCUAGCCGUAAACGAUGUGAACUUGGCGUUGGUGGGUUAAACUCCAUCAGUGCCGUAGCAAACGCGAUAAGUUCACCGCCUGGGGACUACGAGCGCAAGGCUUAAAACUCAAAGGAAUUGACGGGGACCCGCACAAGCAGCGGAGCGUGUGGUUUAAUUCGAUGCUACACGAAGAACCUCACCCAGGUUGACAUGACAGGUGGUAGUGAUCGAAAGGUGACCGACCCGCAAGGGAGCCUGCACAGGUGUUGCAUGGCUGUCGUCAGCUCGUGUCGUGAGAUGUUCGGUUAAGUACCGCUAACGAGCGCAACCCUCGUUGCCAGUGUACAAGUGUCAUGGCAGGACUGCCGGCUCUAAGCCGGAGGAAGGCUGGGGAUGACGUCAAGUCAGCAUGGCCUUUAUAGCUGGGGCUACACACACGCUACAAUGGGCCGCUACAAUGGGUCGCCUAAGCCGCGAGGCGGAGCCAAUCCCACAAAACUGUCCUCAGUUCAGAUUGCAGGCUGCAACCUCGCCUGCAUGAAGUCGGAGUUGCUAGUAAACGCGCGUCAGCCAUAGUGCGUUGAAUACGUUCCGGGUCUUGUACACACCGCCCGUCACAGCUAUGGGAGCUGGCUAACACCUGAAGCCAGGUAGCGUAACCGCAAGGAGGCGCGCUGUCGAAGGUGGGGCUGGUGACUGGACUG
rnacentral:rRNA from 1 species